GCCGGACGACAGCCGACUGAACGCGUCGGAAGAGACCCGACUACCGCACUUUUAUCCCGCGGUUGGUCGGCUUCCGACUCAACGGACGCACCCGACUCAUGGCCGGAGGAAGGAUGCCCGACUUACGACCUCGACCACCGAAGGCCGAUCCAAAGUCGGGACUUGACCUACCUUCGUGGCAGCGCGAGUUGCCGAACGACCUAACCGACCUAUAUGAGUCGGCGACCUAU
rnacentral:lncRNA from 1 species